rnacentral:sRNA from 1 species
AGGCAAUCGCUUUAACGCCACACACGCAUCGGCACCGCCUUCGGGGUGCCCUACCUGUCGUCGUCGCGAAAGGCGUCGCGUCCAGGUCGGGUCGAAGCCGGGGAUGCGUGGAGGUCCCAAC